rnacentral:tRNA from 1 species
GGCGCUCUAGCCCAAUAGGUAGAGGCGCGGGAUUCAAAAUCCCGUCAGUGUGGGUUCGACUCCCACGGGCGCUA